CGGAGGCAGCAGUGGGGAAUAUUGCGCAAUGGCCGAAAGGCUGACGCAGCGACGCCGCGUGGGGGAUGAAGCAUUUCGGUGUGUAAGCCCCUGUUGCUCGGGACGAACAAGCCUUUUCGAGGGCUCUGACGGUACCGAGUGAGGAAGCACCGGCUAACUCCGUGCCAGCAGCCGCGGUAAUACGGAGGGUGCGAGCGUUGUCCGGAAUCACUGGGCGUAAAGGGCGCGUAGGCGGUCUGCUAAGCGUGUGGUGAAAGCUCGGGGCUCGACCCCGAGUCGGCCAUGCGAACUGGUGGACUAGAGCACUGUAGAGGCAGGUGGAAUUCCGGGUGUAGCGGUGGAAUGCGUAGAGAUCCGGAAGAACACCGGUGGCGAAGGCGGCCUGCUGGGCAGUAGCUGACGCUGAGGCGCGAUAGCGUGGGGAGCAAACAGGAUUAGAAACCCGAGUAGUCC
rnacentral:rRNA from 1 species